AUAGAGACACACACACAUACACACAUAGAGAGAGAGAGAGAUAGCAACACAACACAAAAGACAAAGGAGCAAAAAUGAAUCGGGUCCAAUCUCACCUGAAAUCGAAUGACGGACCUGACUAUGGAGCUGUAGCAGGAGUCGGGUUGGAAGGAAUUGAGGAAGGAGGCUCACAAUAUGAAGGGCGAUCUCGGCGUCAAGCUCUCUUCUUACGCCAAGUUCGGCUCUAGGUUCUCCCAUAGAGGCAAUAAGCAGGAUGUGCCACAAGAUUUUGGAUCUUCUUAUUUGUUGGCCACGGGGCCUAUCUCUUGUGUUGGCAGAAUGCCAUUUAUGUAAAAGGGUUAUACCCUUCUUCUUGACUCUUUAAUGAUGUAAGCCCAAAGGCAAUUUAUUUAGUAUACUCAUGCUGUAUUUAAUUUGCAUACGAAUGAGAGAAUUGUUGUUCA